rnacentral:rRNA from 1 species
ACGGGUGAGUAAUGCUUAUCUUACCUACCAUUUAGUGGGGGAUAAAAUCUAGCGGGUAUUCUAGUUUCGACUAGGAAAGGGGGUCGCAAGAUUCUCGCUAAAUGAUGGGGAUAAGGCGUAUUAGCUUGUUGGUGGGGUAAAGGCCUACCAAGGUCAAGAUGCGUAGCCAAACUGAGAGGUUGACUGGCCACAAGGGAACUGAGACACGGUCCCUACUCCUACGGGAGGCAGCAGUGAGGAAUUUUCCACAAUGGGGGCAACCCUGAUGGAGCAAUACUACGUGAAGGAGGAAGGUCUACGGAUUGUAAACUUCUGUUAGCGCGGAAGAAGGGCCGAGCGUAAGUUCGGUUUUGACGGUACGCGCAGAGAAAGCCACGACUAACUACAUGCCAGCAGUCGCGGUAAGACGUAGGUGGCGAACGUUAUCCGGAAUUAUUGGGCGUAAAGGGUGCGUAGAUGGUAUAAUAAGUUAUCAGCGGUAAAUCGGGGCUCAACCUCGUGGAAGUCGGUAAUACUGUUAUACUUGAGUGCAGGAGAGGUUAACGGAACUCCAUGUGGAGCGGUAAAAUGCGUAGAUAUAUGGAAGAACACCAAUAACGGCGAAGGCAGUUAACUAUUCUGUUACUGACAUUGAGGCACGAAAGCGUGGGGAGCAAAAAGGAUUAGAUACCCUUGUAGUCCACGCCCUAAACGAUGAGUGCUAGAUAUUGGGAACUUGAUUCUCAGUGUCGCUAGUUAACACGGUAAGCACUCCGCCUGGGUAGUACGGUCGCAAGGCUGAAACUCAAAGGAAUUGACGGGGACUCGCACAAGCAGUGGAGCAUGUGGUUUAAUCCGAUACAACGCGUAGAACCUUACCAAGGCUUGACAUGUUCGGCAAAGUUAUUGAAAGGUAAUGGAGGUUAUCCGGACACAGGUGCUGCAUGGCCGUCGUCAGUUCGUGCCGUGAGGUGUAUGGUUAAGUCCUAUAACGAACGUAACCCUUAGGUUUAGUUGCCAGCAUUCAGUUGGGGACUCUAGACCGACUGCCCGAGUAAUCUGAGAAGGAAAGGAUGACGUCUGGUCGUC